AAUAUAAAAUGUUCUAUAUUACAUUCAACCAAAUAAGAUGUUCGGCUCACAGUUGGUGUGAAAUUUAUUUCAUUGGUAUUACUAAUACGCAUGCGCGGAAUGAAGACUAUGGUACGUGAUAUGUUCUAUGGGUAUGUUCAGAAAAUGGUACUUUUGUACAUCGAGUAAUUAGUCGAUUAGUCGUAGUUAAUUAGUGCUGUUACUUCUGGAGAAACGAUUGCAUGAUGAAAAAUAGGGCUAUGACCAGUAUGGACACGAACAGAUUGGAUCAAAAGGAAAGUUUGAGUUGUGAAUGAAAUAAGAGCACAUUGAAAUUUCACUUUCACUUUCACUGAUAUGAAGGUAUCCUUCUUACGAGAUUUCUUUUCCUUGGGACAUUAUGUAGGUAAAUAAAUGUUCAUGCAAGAAAAAACAAUUUUUGAGGAACAAAAGAUUGGCUAACAAAUAAGUUAGAUUGGGAAGUUAAUUUUGGUCUUAGCGAUGAUGACAUGGGAUGUCUGACCUGCUAUCCUUUCUCAAUUUGAUUUACACACAUGUAACGACAUUUUACAGCUAA